ACUAACUUCCGGUGUGCGUGUCCAGACACGACACAGGUGCGUGUAGUUGGCGCACCCUCUACUCCAUGCACCACAGUUGACCAUCUACCCUGCAGAAGACCAUCGCUGUGUCACUAAAAGACAUUGGUUUGGAAACGUCCCGGCUAAAUUUCAGGAGAUUGUUGUCAUUUCAAACGCAGCUGUCAAAUGGAGUUUAGAGCAAAGUGCAUGAGGACAACAGGGAGAGCUGCCAGUUCAACAUGUUCCGCCCGGUGGAAUUGGAGACGAUCACAUGUGUGUUAGUUUGGUGUUCUAAAAUACAACAAAACAGCAGCGUCUAAAAUACAUGCUAUCUGAAGCAUACACGCAUAGCAUACAUGCUAGUGUGAAGCACUGCCACAGUGCUUCACACUAGAUUAUACCAACAAAGUCACCUGUGACCCCCGGAUGACCUCUGUCACGUAUAAGUACCGGUGUCCUACGGAAUCUUCUCACGAGUUCACGGGAUUCCGAGUGACUAUGAACUCUGGCGGUCAUCUAGGAUUCACAGAACCAGUUACAUUUGUAACUUUCGUUGUAUUUCAUCCUUACUGACCGCCAGAGGCAGUGCUUCAUACUGGAUGACUUGUACCAACAGAGUCACGAGGAUUACAACCACCUCGUAUUGCUCGGGCAGAGGAAUUGGGCCAUAGAACCCUCCCCUACGUUCACUCUGUAGUGUUCUGUCAGUGUGCUGCCUUUAAGGCCGCAGCACGGCAUGUAUAUUCGUCAUUGGCAUACCUCUCAGGACUGUCCAUGAUGAGGAGACACUCCUGGUAGAGUGUCGCUCAAUUCUCAAUGGCUGAGCUUGGUUGCUCGCCUUGUAUGUCUAGGCAAUGGCCUCUGAAACCCAGUAGGGUGGGCGCUGCAUUGAGAGAGCACAGCCCUCAGUUUCAGCAUAACUGACCGUUCUAAACCGCUGUAUCCAAGUGGGAACUUCUACACAAGCUCUGAGGGCCCGCACUUUGUACGGUAGCCCUGACCUCGCCUCUCCUGCUGGAAGGAGGGUGGUCAACCGUGUAGGCUAAAUAGGCUGGUUGAUGCGUGAGCUUGUUCAAACCGUUAGGAGGGCCGCUGCCUUAGGCCAACAGAGUAAUGCCAGAGCCGCCUGGAGUCGCCGGCUGUCAGUCCACCCUAUAGGCGGAAAAAGAUUUAAGACAACCGUCUACCUCUUAGAAGGGGAGAGGCUCUGGGGAAGUCGUCCACAUGCGCUGGGGCGACGGACAGCCCCAUAGGGCCACCCUAACGGUGGUAGUGCUCUGAGAAGGGCUAGAGUGGUUCCACCUCGUGUUCACCUUGAGGCCCCACAGAGCCACGUGAGGGGAGGUAAGCAGUGCCCUGUGUUGCCAGGCGGGCCGCACUUAGCGGUGCAGCAGUAUACUUCGCCCUGCAGUUACGGGAGGAAAGGGCGGCCGUAACACACUCUGUAAGCACCAGUGGAGAGGGUCCGAGUGGAAACUAAAUAAGGUAGCUGCCUAUGGUGACGCACCCUGGAACCUGAGAAUAGGUUGUGACGACCCUCCCACAUCUGGUUGUGAUUGUUGUUACAGGUGCUGAUUGGAGGGUCGUCAACUGGAAGAGCCACACCUGAGCCGGCGUGCUCGGCCUUAAAAGAUCCCAUUCAGAAAUCCCUGGGGGGGGGGCUGAGAUGAAGACCUGCGCUGUUCUGGGCUCACUACCACAUACAUUGCAGUUUGUUGUUAACAAUAAACUAGUCACUUCUUGAAGCUCACUUGUUUGUCUCCCUGCUUUCUGGCAGUCCCUGAGCCUGGCUGUGACAUAUGAGGGCUCGUCCAUUCCUUGGUGAUCCUGUGGGACGCUGGAGUUCAGCUGGAGUAGCAGUUGUAGCAUAACCGGCUGCGUACCAGAUGACUAAGGUUUUUCAUGAUGUUUUGGUUUGGGGAGACAUUUGAGGGUGUAGGUUUGUUGUUUGGCUGUGGUGUGAGUAAAGUGCCCUGUACAUUGUGAAUUAUUUGCUGUUCUGUCCCUGUUAGGCUGAAGAGCGGAUUCCCGUGGAGUUCGUUGGAGGUUGAUUAGUGUGGUUGCGAAAGUGGUUAGAGCAGUUGUCUCGGGGGCACAUCCGAGGUUUCAGGGGGGUUGCCAGCAGUGCUGUAGUGGUAAAAUUAGAGGUGGGUAAACUCUGAAUUUUGUGAUCAUCCAGACCUCGGCACGAUGCGAAGCGUCGCGACUCUGUAAGGCUGUCCUGGCUAUAUUGCAUUAUGUUAAAUUGGUGUUUCCCCUCUCCCUGUGCUCUCUGCAUCGUUGCCUGUCCUCUCACUGCCUGAAAAAAUAAGUUGAAUUAAGAGUUAACCAAUUAAGCAGCCUGUCAAUUACACUGACAACAUAUGUUAAAGGAACGCUCAUGUACUACCUGGUGUCAUCACCAGGCGUUUUUCUUGUCCUUUUACCGUGCACGACCAGCGAACACAGAGCCCCCCCCCCCGGCGGUCGUUCCGCCCGCAACGACGACUACCCCCCCGUCGGACCUUCUCGAGCGGUCCGCAAAAUAUUGUCUGACAUGAAACCGGUCCGUGAGGUAAAGGUUGGGGACCACUGGGCUGAUCCACAACGUGCUCCUGGAUCCUGACUGGUGUCGCUGCUGCAGCCGCAAGGCACUGAUUGGAUGGUCAGACCGUAAUACAGCGCAGAUGAAAAUGAUUCAGACUACGGCGUUUAUAUGUUCAACAAUAGGAAACGUAGUCUUAGCUGUUUUAAAAUUACACCAAGUUUAUUUCGGAUUAUUCCAACGGAAGAAUACAAGGCGCAGGGAACUUUGAGGUGCGUAAACGCUAUUUCCAAAAUUCUAGAGGUGCGUAAACGGCGUUUACGUGCGUUUACCCUCCACUACAGCCUUGGUUGCCAGUAUAUGGUGGCUUUACCCAACCUUUUUUAAAUUAUUAUUGAUGUGAUAAUGAUCAAGUAUGUAUGUAUGUAUCAAUACAUCACAAUUCAUGAAGACUUCAUUCUGACAACUCUUCCCUCCUUUCUGAUUGUCUCAAUCAGCUUGCUGUGGUGCUUGUCCAAGGUAGCCAGGAAUCGCAGUUGUGAUUCUCAGAAAUUCCCCAUUGACCUUUAAAAAAAAAACAAGAGUACAUCACAUGUUACAUUAUAACUUUGGUGUGUGGAUUUCUUUUCCUUUUUUAUCAAGUGUCAAAACAUGAAUUUUGUAUUGGUGUGGCAUCAUUUAUUUGCAGGUUUCUAAUCAUAGGGGAUGAUAUCCUUAUUAUGACAGUGGCUGUAGCGAAUUGUCUAUCACCUUGAGCGAGGAUAUAUUGCCAACAGACUGCUGCAAAGUGUAAAAAGCCUCAGAGGACACCACACCAUGUCUAUUCAGUCCACUUAGCAUCUCUGCAAGUUAGCUUGAGCGAGGACACUCUGCUAACAGAUAGUCUCAGUGCCCGCUUUCCAUGGUGUUAGCCCAAGUGAGGACACAGCCGUGACCACUGCUAGAUCUCCAAUGACGCAAUGUCCGUGUCAUUCUGGUCAGAUGUAGCAUCUCGUCCUGUUGGCCUGGGUGAGAGCACCCUGCUAAAUGUGUUAGUUGCUGCUAAAUGUUCUAGCAUGCCCAAAAUCAUAAAAUAUGUCCAUGGGCAUGUACCCAUUGUACUACACCUUUUACUUUAUUUGAAAAUGUCUUUGGACUAUUUUUUUAUGAAUAUUAUUCAAUAUUUAUGGCAAAUAACGUUCAAUAACUCCACUGUUAUGGACUCUAGAACUACAAAAAUCAUGUCAUAUGUCAAUGAGCUUUUAGCCAUUGUACUACAUCUUUUACCCUAUUUGUAAAUGUCUUGACUAUUUUUUUAUGAAUAUUUUUAAAUAUUUAUGGCAAAUAAUGUUCAAUAACGGGAGGCAAGUUUUUUAUUAAAAUUGUUGCACCUGAUAAUUUAUAUCCAAUUUAUUGAAGGAAAAUACACAAUGCAUGGUAUGUUAUAUUUCCAUUUUACGCAUUUGGUCAGGUCACAUUUGAUAACUAUGAUGCAGCCAUUGGAUUUGUCAACAUAAGAAAUUUGCACUGGAAGUUUGUGGUGAGUAUGCAGCUACUCAUGUGGCACUCUAUACCUUUAGAGCAUUUAUGUAUGGCUCAUGGUUUGUGCAUUUUAAGGUUGUUGAUCUUACAAUUACUUUAAAUAUUUAUAACAACCUAUAAUCAAGUAAAUACAACAAAAUCUUCAUUAAUAUUAAAUAAAACCUAGAUAUUAGUGACCAAUUUAUAUCCUGAUAUUUGUAUCUAAUAUUGCUGCAGUUUGUACAUGCUUUGAUAUAUGGAUUCAUUAAAACGCUUUACUUUUAGAAGUCUCCAUGGUCGUCAAUGUAUCUUAAUGAAAAUAAUACAAUUAUUGUCCAGACAAAGCACUUGGUUCCUCCAACAGGAGUCCCUUGGUAGUCCCUACUGCUAAUCUGACGAUUUGUGUCUUCUCGAUUGAGUACCGCCCAAUAUUGUGGCACUCACUUUCAACAAAUCUCAUUCAGUACUUUCAAGUAAAAAGUUAAUAAAUGCCUAUUUUAAAUGUUUAGUUUCUUUAUUUACUCUCAUUUGUGAUUAUCUGUUGUACAAUAAAUAUACUUACAAUGUUGCUAUCAAUUUGUCAACCAUGAAUGUGAUUUUGGGGUUUCACAUAAAGUAAACGUAUCACUUUGUCAUUCUUUUUGUUGCUAAUAUUAAAUAUUGCAUGCUUUAACAACAUAUUACUUUUUAAUCUGGCCAGAUAAAUCAUACCUGCCAGAAAGAUAACACCAGUUGUGGUAUUUAAUGAAACGUGUUAUCUUCCUGAUAGAUUAAAUAAAAUGCUGUAUUAACAUAUAAAUUCAUACAAGAACUCAAGUUUCAAAGGAUGAGCUGAGCUCGGCUCUUUCUGUGGAAAUGAGGACCUUCUCAAAACCGCUGUUCAUGUUUGGGUGAGAAAAUGUUUCUAGACAUAAACAUAUAAUCUGAGUUGUGGACAUCUAUAAAUAACCCGGAUCGUGAUUAAAGUAAUCAAAUAUAGUUAACCUUUAUGCAUUACAGGUUUCCUAAACUGCCAUUUUCUUAAUACAUUUAAUGUAUUCAUCCCCAUGUAGAUUCAAUGUGAAACUUGCUCAAGAUGGUUUCACACGCAGUGCCUCAGAAUGACAGCAGUCAAAAUACAAUGCAAAGCCACCCAUUGGCAUCGUUUGUUGUGCAACACCCAGUCUAUUCUAUAAAAAAGGCAGACGUCAAGCUAAGAAGAAAAGUCGAGCAAAAAAACAUGAAAACAAGUGGUUCUGCAAAAUUUGUGCAACUGAGCUUUAUCCAUAAGACUCACUCAAGAAACAUUUAGUUUAUAUAAGAUCUUGUGCGUAUAUUAAUUCAUGAAAGUGCGAUUUGUAAUCAACAAAUCAAAAGCACAUUUCAUUAAAAUAACUACUGUAGUAGAACAAUAAUGAGUAUUGUGUGAACAAAAUCAUCGUGUGUGUGUGUCUGUACACACACACACGAUGAUUUUGGUCUUGCUACCAUUCAGAACAGUGAAGGUAUUGAAUAUUUCUGUAAUAUUCGUUUUACGCAUUUUAAUUGGCAGACGGUCCCUGCGCACUUGCCUCAAAAGCGGCUGCACAUUGAGACAAAUGAUUCGUCCAGCUCGCUGAGCGGUCUGUUUUGUUGAAAUUAUUGUUAACGGUUGCAGCAAGCGAGCAAAAGUCCGUCUCGCGCGAGCAAAAGUCAGUCACUGGCGAGCAAAAGUCAGUCACUCGCGAGAUAUUUGCGGAACGUGAACUUCCUCGCUCGAGCAGGCAGGAACUACAAACAUCCACGAUGAUAGACAAUGACGCGACCAGUGACAGGAGACACACACCGCUUAAAUACACUAGGGAGGUGCAGGUGAUUGGACACAGGUGGAAACAAUCAGACAAUCACAGACGAUGACAGGACAAGGCAGGAAGUGAAGUUACCCAGGGAAACAAGAAGCUUAAACCUACAAAAUAAGACAGGAAAUAAAACCACACCGUGACACUUUGAUAUUUCUAUUAAAUUUCAGAGGAGAAAUAGAGACAGAUCUGCUAAGUCAGGAUAGCUAAUAUAUCCAAGCUCCCACUCCAUAACUUCAAAAGUACUAAUUGCAGUACUAAUUCAUCAAUACUCCAGGUGUUUAAUACCGUCUUAUUAGUUGGGGGGGCAACCCUGUUCCUAAGACUGUUUGUUUUCAUUAGACAUGAAAUAACUGAACUUUACAUGUCCCUUCAUAUUUUAACAUUACAUAAUCUCUGGUCCUUUUCCCUCUUAAAAGAGGCAGUGUUUCAGUGUCAUUUUUUCUAUCACUCAAAAUUCAUUAAUUGAUUCCUCUAUCAAACAAGCCAACAUAGUAAAAUUGAAUCACAUUGUCAUCUGUUUUGUUCGCACUCAUUAUCCGACCCUUCUUUCUCCAUUAUGCUCAAUCAGAUAGCAUUUGUAUAUCUAAGUUGGAUGUUGUUGGCUGGGCCUUUAACAUUUGAUGUCUUGUCCUGGGUUUAAGUCAGGGUGAGAAUCUUUUCAUCCAGAUAUAUGUGCUUAUGCAAUGCUGACGUUCAUUGUCUAUUCUACCACAAUUAAAAUGGUUCUAAACUAUGUUUUUUUUAAUGUUUUGAUCCUUAUUGACUAAGCCUAAAACAACAGUGUGUUAUCAUAGUAAUGUAGCUGAUCCAGAACAUUGCAGCUUGAGUCCUCACUAGGACUGUCAGGUCGCCUCCUACGUGAGGUGUUUGUUUUGUCUGGAGACGUUUUUUCUUAUUUCUGUGUUUUUGUGUUUGCGUGUCUGCACCAGCCAGCGCUUGAGGGGGCGGGACGUCAGCACUGAGGUGAGAGCAGCGGCCAGCUGCUUGACACCUGACCCAAUCAGGAAAUGUAUUUAGGAGUGGCCCUGACGUUUGGUCCCUGCUAGAUUGUUAGUCUCAUUUGUGACUAAAGCGUAGUUUAUGCUUUUGCGUUUUCAGAGCGACGCAGACGCAAGACCCCCUUGCGUGUCCCUUGCGUCGCUUUUCACACCUCCUUGCGUCCUUGCAUAAGCGGGUUGGAUUCAUGGAGGGAGAUCGCUGCAAAUGUCGGUUUGCCAGCCGAGAAGUGCACAAAGUUGUGGAGGAAAAUACGGGACAAAUAUGUCCGCCAUGAAAAGCAGCAGGGGCGAUGCACGGGGGAAAUAAAGUCUAUGAUAAAUAAAUGAGAGAGAUUAUACGUUUAGCUGUUUUUCCAAUCUAGGCACCUGGUGGGUUGUGUUUUCCUGUGCAUUCACCCGGGAACCUAGCCACGUUUUUCUGCACCCUCUGGAUCCUAACAACCUGCAUCUCACCUGGGAUUCCGGACCGCCAUCACCACCCUCUUUUUUCCAUAUUUGCCCCCUUCUUCUGUUGUUCACCUUACUCGAUCUGCGUUUGGGUCUGUUCUGGUGGGGAAUACCUGGCAGGACCCGGAAAGUGGGUCUCAGGUCUUUACACUGGCUUCCUGUCAAACAAAGAAUUGACUUCAAAAUCGUGCUGUCUGUUUAUAAAGCACUGAAUGGUUUAGGGCCUAAGUACAUUUCUAAUCUGCUGAUACCAUAUGAAUCGCCGCAAACCCUUAGGUCGUCUGGGACAUGGCUACCGUACCCAAAACUUAACGUGGAGAAAUAGCGUUUAAUUUUCCUGCUCCACAUAUCUGAGUCCCUACCUCCUUUAUAUAUCCUUGCUUCAUGUUUGGAUGUUUUUGAUGGUUUUAUGUGAACCCCUUUUAUCUGCCCUGUGGAUGAAAUGUGCUAUGCAAAUAAAAUUGCCUUGCCUUGCCUUACCACAUUGAUGAUAGCGAGGAAAUGACAUAAUGGGGGACAAAGUGGGAUCCACUUGGUACUUUUUUAUUGACAACCAGCUGUAGGUGAUUUUAUCAUACUCAAACAUUCAAAAUUAUAUUCAAAACAUUUUUCAUACUUUAAGUAAAUGUUGUUGUCAAUAUUUCCUACGUUUACCAGCAGUGGAGUAUUUUCACAGUGCGUAUUAGCACAUAAGUAAAGCAUCUGAAUACCG
ensembl:lncRNA